rnacentral:tRNA from 2 species
GACCCGCUAGCUCAGCAGGCAGAGCACCUGCCUUUUAAGCAGGGUGUCCGGAGUUCGAAUCUCCGGCGGGUCA